rnacentral:rRNA from 1 species
CUAUACAUGCAGUCGAGCGGACAGAUGGGAGCUUGCUCCCUGAUGUCAGCGGCGGACGGGUGAGUAACACGUGGGUAACCUGCCUGUAAGACUGGGAUAACUCCGGGAAACCGGGGCUAAUACCGGAUGCUUGAUUGAACCGCAUGGUUCAAUUAUAAAAGGUGGCUUUUAGCUACCACUUACAGAUGGACCCGCGGCGCAUUAGCUAGUUGGUGAGGUAACGGCUCACCAAGGCAACGAUGCGUAGCCGACCUGAGAGGGUGAUCGGCCACACUGGGACUGAGACACGGCCCAGACUCCUACGGGAGGCAGCAGUAGGGAAUCUUCCGCAAUGGACGAAAGUCUGACGGAGCAACGCCGCGUGAGUGAUGAAGGUUUUCGGAUCGUAAAACUCUGUUGUUAGGGAAGAACAAGUACCGUUCGAAUAGGGCGGUACCUUGACGGUACCUAACCAGAAAGCCACGGCUAACUACGUGCCAGCAGCCGCGGUAAUACGUAGGUGGCAAGCGUUGUCCGGAAUUAUUGGGCGUAAAGCGCGCGCAGGCGGUUUCUUAAGUCUGAUGUGAAAGCCCCCGGCUCAACCGGGGAGGGUCAUUGGAAACUGGGGAACUUGAGUGCAGAAGAGGAGAGUGGAAUUCCACGUGUAGCGGUGAAAUGCGUAGAGAUGUGGAGGAACACCAGUGGCGAAGGCGACUCUCUGGUCUGUAACUGACGCUGAGGCGCGAAAGCGUGGGGAGCGAACAGGAUUAGAUACCCUGGUAGUCCACGCCGUAAACGAUGAGUGCUAAGUGUUAGAGGGUUUCCGCCCUUUAGUGCUGCAGCAAACGCAUUAAGCACUCCGCCUGGGGAGUACGGUCGCAAGACUGAAACUCAAAGGAAUUGACGGGGGCCCGCACAAGCGGUGGAGCAUGUGGUUUAAUUCGAAGCAACGCGAAAAACCUUACCAGGUCUUGACAUCCCCUGACAACCCUAAAGAUAGGGGCUUCCCCUUUCGGGGGCAGGAGUGACAAGGUGGGCGCAUGGGUUGUCGUGCACGUCCGUGCCCUGGAGAAGUUUGGGUUAAGGUCCGG